rnacentral:tRNA from 1 species
GUGGCUGUAGUUCAGUUGGUAGAGCACAGGAUUGUGGCUCCUGGCGUCGUGGGUUCGAGUCCCAUCAGCCACCCCA